CCAAUUAGAGCGAGAACAGAGAAACCCAGCGACCAAUGGGUAGCGCCUUUGGGGGCGGGAGCAGAGAGACAAGGAAAUGCUGUCACCGCCGUUAACACGCACGUGGAGGUUGGUUAAAGGGAAGACCUGGGAUUAAGUCCUGUCCCAUCAACCUCAAGAUAUGGAACCUCAUGGAAGGGAGGGAGGCAAUGCCGAGGAUGUGCUCCUGAGCAGGUGCCACAAUUCUUCACCCGUCAGGGCUGUCCUCAUCUAAUCCAUCAGUACCAGACAGUGAACAUCUCUCCCCCAGGAUGCUGAGGAAGGGUGCUGGACGGAAGGAUGUGGAACUACAGCCUCUGCUCUCAAGAUGCUCAGAUCUGGGCAGGGAACAUCACACAUCUGGGCCUGUCAGGGGGUUGGGGGCUGGGGGAGGGAUAGCAUUAGGAGAAAUAUCUAAUGUAAAUGACAAGUUGAUGGGUGCAGCAAACCAGCAUGGCACAUGUAUACCUAUGUAACAAACCUGCAUGUUGUGCACGUAUAGUCUAGAACUUAAAGUAUAAUUAAAAAAAAAAAAAAAGCUUCAGAUCCCUCCUGGAGCCUCCUAUGAAACCA